rnacentral:lncRNA from 1 species
GACAAUAGAGAUGAGCAAACAUGUCAUUGAAAGAGGCUCAAAAGUAUCUUCCAAAGACUUAUGAUACACAAACACACACGAUAGAAAGAAACUGAUUCAAGGUCAUGAGACCAUUUUGGAGAAAAACUCGAAGUUAAACAAGUUCAGAAGAAAGAGAUGAUACGAGUUUUACACAAAAGUAGAGAAAACAUGCUUAGCAGGAACACGAACAGAGUUCAAUAAAGUGAACAAAAUCAAAGAAUUCAACCAUAAACACAUAUAGCAAAGAAUAAGGAAAACAACACGAAUUAACAUGGGGAUACAUGAAUAACAACAAAAUAGAAGAAUUUUGCAUAAUAGAAAAGAAACAAGAGAGCAAACUCAAGCACAGUAGAAAAGAAAGCAUAUGAGCAUAACAUAGGUAAACAC